AUAACAGACCUCUGCAGGAAGUAAGUCUGGUUUCCCAGUGAAUUAUUGCAAGGCACUCUCUUUAACUACUAGCCCAGACAAAACACUUCCAGACAUCCUCUUUUAUACCCACAGGGAAGGAAGUUCCUUGAGGGCAGAAGCUCCGUCUUCUACUCAGAGUGGGAAUGGAGGGCCGUGGCUCUGCUAGCCCGGGGGCUUCCCCAUCAGGAUUGAGACCAUCAUUCAGCAUCAGGAGUUUCUAACAGGACCGUGGACCAACUGGCACCCAGGAGACCGAUAACCGAUCCAAAAAGAGUUCAAGUGGGUGUGUGGUGUGCAUUUUGUGAACUGGACCGUCUAAAGAUUACAGUAAUCGUUGGACCGAGCAGAGCCUCUUCGGGCAUAAAUAGCAAGACUCCCACCGUCCCCGCUUGAAGACCAACUCAGCCGCCAGAAAAGCAGGUGUCCUCACCUCUGCUGGACUUCGGAGGAAACGGUGAGUGUUCGUGAACGCUCUUCGUAAACGAAAACGCCACCGAUGGGGUCUCUUACAUUUUGCGAUCUUCUCUCAUCGAAAGCCCUCUGUCUUUUUUUCCUCUAUUUUCCAAAUCUAGAAAUUUGAAGAGCUGCCCGAGUCCUCGAAGUCUAAUGCCAGCGUGACUGCGGUUUUAUUGUGUUCAUUUUCCAAUGUUUUCUCCCAGUUCUCUCCAUACAAUACAAAGUUCAUGCAAAAUAUGACAGCUCAAUAAUGAAUUACAGUUGUGAUUCAUUUAACUUUAAAGAGCGUGCCGUAGAACAGCAUCUUCAGAC
rnacentral:lncRNA from 1 species